GAACGGCAGGUGAACUACAACUCCCAGAGGGUAGCCCGCCUCCGUGACGACCACAGAUCCGCAUCGAAAGAACUGGUCCAGAACUGCACAUCUAAACCUAGACAUUUGUCACAAGAAAGUUCGGCAUGUGAUAGCAGCUGUAGCCUCAGUCACCCUCAGAAUCGCUGUCCCUCCUCAUGAGGACAGAGUGCCGCACUGAGGACAGCAAUACAUCUUCAAUCGGCUUCUUAGGGUUUUCCUCCAGGUCCAUCAUAAUUGCUCCAGAUUCAGACAGUUUCCAUUCCAACUCAUCUCUUGUCAGGUUCAUGCCACCAAACACCAGAGGACCAAUAAACUGAGCCUUGAUAUCUCCUUCCAGGUAAACAAAUAUCGUGGGCAGAUUCCUAUCAGGAUAAUUGGGUAUGCAGGUUGUUGAAAUGGCUUUGAUAAAUUUGACAUCAGGAAACUUCCUGGCAAGUCCACCGAGGUUCUGAUUUAUCAGGGCACAGAGGGGAAUUCCUUGUUUGUAAAGGUGCAAGAUGACCCACAAGCCCUCACCAGCUUUGGUAACUUCUUGAACAUAAUCCUUCCCUGAGAUCUCCAAAACUUCUCAAAAUUUAUUCUUCAAUUUAGUUGCUUUCCACUCAGCCAGUCUCUGCCGUCUGCACAUUUCAAUAGCACAUUCAUCCUCCUCAUUAAACUCAUCUUCAUGAUCCUCCAGCUCUUCCAAAGUCAUAUCUUCAUAUGUUUUCACCACUGACUGCUGGAGGAUGCACUGCUCCUCUUCUGCCUCCUCUUCCAAUUCUUUCAGACUUUCCUUGGGGGGUAAGAUACCCUUUUUGCGUUAAGAUGUCAUUCCACUCAGUGUCUGCGUUGGGGUCCUGCAUCUUGUUUCCAGUUCAGUUGCUCAAGCCAGCUGUGCCGCCUUGUUUUUUUGUUUUUUUGUUUUUUGUUUUUUUGAGACAGAGUUUUGCUCCUGUUGCUCAGGCUGGAGUGCAGUGGCACAAUCUCGGCUCACUGCAACCUCCACCUCCUGGGUUCAAGCUAUUCUCCUGCCUCAGCCUCCCCAGUAGCUGGGAUUACAG
rnacentral:lncRNA from 1 species